UCUACUGCAGAGACUUCUACUGGGACCUGCUCAGCAUACGCAGUGAGGAGGAGCAGAGGGAGGUGGAGGAGGUGCUAAAGAGCGUCUCCUUCCCCCUCACUGAGCGUGUUUGGUUGGGCCUGCGCAGGGACUUGAUGGGUGACACCUGGUUCUGGAUGUCUGGUGAUUCCAUGGAUUUCAACGACUUGAAGACUCAGUCCACCUGGGACAACACCAGUCCAUGUGGUGCCAUGGACAGCAGCGAUGGCUUCCACUGGGGGGAUCGUCCAUGUGGAGAGCACCUUAAUUUCGUCUGUUUGAAAGACAUCCAGAGAGACAACGAGAGAUUGGAGUUCUACAGCAGCAGCAGACCAUAAACGCAGCACCAAGAGAAAAUCACUCUGCUGGACCGUACAACGACCUUUACUGAUACGUCAAUAAUACACCUUCUUCUUUUUGACCUUUUGAAGGUCAUAACUUUCUGUGAUCAUAUAAAAUGUGAUAAAGUACGUCACAUACAGAAACCAUAUAGUUUU